rnacentral:rRNA from 1 species
UUUCCCUUCGGGGACAAAGUGACAGGUGGUGCAUGGUUGUCGUCAGCUCGUGUCGUGAGAUGUUGGGUUAAGUCCCGCAACGAGCGCAACCCUUGAUUUUAGUUGCCAGCAUUUAGUUGGGCACUCUAAAGUGACUGCCGGUGCAAGCCGGAGGAAGGUGGGGAUGACGUCAAAUCAUCAUGCCCCUUAUGACCUGGGCUACACACGUGCUACAAUGGAUAGUACAAAGGGUCGCGAAGCCGCGAGGUGGAGCUAAUCCCAUAAAACUAUUCUCAGUUCGGAUUGUAGGCUGCAACUCGCCUACAUGAAGCCGGAAUCGCUAGUAAUCGUGGAUCAGCAUGCCACGGUGAAUACGUUCCCGGGCCUUGUACACACCGCCCGUCACACCACGAGAGUUUGUAACACCCGAAGUCGGUAGGGUAACCUUUAUGGAGCCAGCCGCCGAAGGUGGGACAGAUAAUUGGGGUGAAGUCGUAACAAGGUAGCCGUAUCGGAAGGUGCGGCUGGAUCACCUCCUUU